rnacentral:rRNA from 1 species
UCAACCUGAGAGUUUGAUCCUGGCUCAGAGCGAACGCUGGCGGCAGGCCUAACACAUGCAAGUCGAACGAACCCUUCGGGGUUAGUGGCGGACGGGUGAGUA